rnacentral:rRNA from 1 species
UACGUAGGUGACAAGCGUUGUCCGGAUUUACUGGGCGUAAAGAGCGCGCAGGCGGUCGAUCAAGUCGAGUGUGAAAGCCCCCGGCUCAACUGGGGAGGGUCAUUCGAUACUGAUCGACUCGAAGGCAGGAGAGGGUAGUGGAAUUCCCGGUGUAGUGGUGAAAUGCGUAGAUAUCGGGAGGAACACCAGUGGCGAAGGCGCCUACCUGGCCUGUUCUUGACGCUGAGGCGCGAAAGCUAGGGGAGCAAACGGG